rnacentral:rRNA from 1 species
GAUGAACGCUGGCGGCGUGCCUAAUACAUGCAAGUCGAGCGAACGGACGAGAAGCUUGCUUCUCUGAUGUUAGCGGCGGACGGGUGAGUAACACGUGGAUAACCUACCUAUAAGACUGGGAUAACUUCGGGAAACCGGAGCUAAUACCGGAUAAUAUUUUGAACCGCAUGGUUCAAAAGUGAAAGACGGUCUUGCUGUCACUUAUAGAUGUAUCCGCGCUGCAUUAGCUAGUUGGUAAGGUAACGGCUUACCAAGGCAACGAUGCAUAGCCGACCUGAGAGGGUGAUCGGCCACACUGGAACUGAGACACGGUCCAGACUCCUACGGGAGGCAGCAGUAGGGAAUCUUCCGCAAUGGGCGAAAGCCUGGCGGAGCAACGCCGCGUGAGUGAUGAAGGUCUUCGGAUCGUAAAACUCUGUUAUUAGGGAAGAACAUAUGUGUAAGUAACUGUGCACAUCUUGACGGUACCUAAUCAGAAAGCCACGGCUAACUACGUG